rnacentral:misc_RNA from 1 species
GGAAGUGAAUGUCGUAACAAGGUUUCCGUAGGUGAACCUGCGGAAGGAUCAUUAUUGUAUAACCGAGGUGCGAGGGCUGUCGCUGACCCGAAAGGUCGUGCACGCCCGAGUGCCCUCACACACAUCCAUCUCACCCCUAUGUGCACCACCGCGUGGGUCCCCCUUUGGCUUGUUCGGAGGGGGGCUUACGUUUUCACACAAACUUUGUAUGCAGUGUAGAAUGUAUUUUUUGUUUUUGCGAUCACGCAAUCAAUACAACUUUCAACAACGGAUCUCUUGGCUCUC